rnacentral:rRNA from 1 species
GACGUAGGGCGCGAGCGUUGUCCGGAUUAUUGGGCGUAAAGAGCUCGUAGGCGGCUUGUCGCGUCGACUGUGAAAACCCGCGGCUCAACUGCGGGCCUGCAGUCGAUACGGGCAGGCUAGAGUUCGGUAGGGGAGACGUGGAAUUCCUGGUGUAGCGGUGAAAUGCGCAGAUAUCAGGAGGAACACCGGUGGCGAAGGCGGGUCAUCUGGGCC